rnacentral:rRNA from 1 species
AAUAUUGGACAAUGGGCGAAAGCCUGACGCAGCCAUGCCGGGUGAAUGAUGAAGGUCUUAGGAUUGUAAAAUUCUUUCACCGGGGACGAUAAUGACGGUACCCGGAGCAGAAGCCCCGGCUAACUUCGUGCCAGCAGCCGCGGAAAUACGAAGGGGGCUAGCUUUGCACGGAAUUACUGGGCGUAAAGGGCGCGUAUGCGGACAUUUAAGGCAGGGGUGAAAUCCCAGCGCUCAACUCUGGAACUGCCUUUGAUACUGGGUGUCUUGAGUGUGAGAGAGGUAUGUGGAACUCCGAGUGUAGAGGUGAAAUUCGUAGAUAUUCGGAAGAACACCAGUGGCGAAGGCGACAUACUGGCUCAUUACUGACGCUGAGGCGCGAAAGCGUGGGGAGCAAACA